rnacentral:rRNA from 1 species
GAUGAACGCUGGCGGCGUGCCUAAUACAUGCAAGUCGAGCGAACGGACGAGAAGCUUGCUUCUCUGAUGUUAGCGGCGGACGGGUGAGUAACACGUGGAUAACCUACCUAUAAGACUGGGAUAAUUUCGGGAAACCGGCGCUAAUCCCGGAUAAUCUUUUGAACCGCAUGGUUCAAAAGUGAAAGACGGUCUUGCUGUCACUUAUCGCUGGAUCCGCGCUGCAUUAGCUAGUUGGUAAGGUAACGGCUUACCAAGGCAACGAUGCCUAGCCGACCUGAGAGGGGGAUCGGCCACACUGGAACUGAGACACGGACCAGACUCCUACGGGAGGCAGCAGUAGGGAAUCUUCCGCAAUGGGCGAAAGCCUGACGGAGCAACGCCGCGUGAGUGAUGAAGGUCUUCGGAGCGUAAAGCUCUGUUAUUAGGGAAGAACAUAUGUGUAAGUAACUGUACACAUCUUGACGGUACCUAGUCAGAAAGCCACGGCUAACUACGUG